rnacentral:rRNA from 1 species
CCCCUAGACGUUCUGGGCUGCACGCGCGCUACAAUAAUACGCACAGCGAGUAUCACCGAGCUCGAAAGGGCAAGGUAAACAAUAGAAAAGGUACUGUAAUGGUUAUAGAUCCUUGUAAUUAUUGAUCUUCAACGAGGAAUUCCUAGUAAGUAUGUGUCAUCAUCACGCACUGAUUACGUCCCUGCCCUUUGUACACACCGCCCGUCGCUCCUACCGAUUGGGUGAGCCGAUGAAACUCUCGGAUGUAGGCUAUUCAUAGCCCGCAGAAGAGAUUUGAAUCGUAGCGCUUAGAGGAAGGAGAAGUCGUANCA